rnacentral:rRNA from 1 species
AGAGUUUGAUCAUGGCUCAGGACGAACGCUGGCGGCGUGCCUAAUACAUGCAAGUCGAGCGAGCUUGCCUUAGAUGAUUUUGGUGCUUGCACUAAAUGAAACUAGAUACAAGCGAGCGGCGGACGGGUGAGUAACACGUGGGUAACCUGCCCAAGAGACUGGGAUAACACCUGGAAACAGAUGCUAAUACCGGAUAACAACACUAGACGCAUGUCUAGAGUUUGAAAGAUGGUUCUGCUAUCACUCUUGGAUGGACCUGCGGUGCAUUAGCUAGUUGGUAAGGUAACGGCUUACCAAGGCAAUGAUGCAUAGCCGAGUUGAGAGACUGAUCGGCCACAUUGGGACUGAGACACGGCCCAAACUCCUACGGGAGGCAGCAGUAGGGAAUCUUCCACAAUGGACGAAAGUCUGAUGGAGCAACGCCGCGUGAGUGAAGAAGGGUUUCGGCUCGUAAAGCUCUGUUGGUAGUGAAGAAAGAUAGAGGUAGUAACUGGCCUUUAUUUGACGGUAAUUACUUAGAAAGUCACGGCUAACUACGUGCCAGCAGCCGCGGUAAUACGUAGGUGGCAAGCGUUGUCCGGAUUUAUUGGGCGUAAAGCGAGUGCAGGCGGUUCAAUAAGUCUGAUGUGAAAGCCUUCGGCUCAACCGGAGAAUUGCAUCAGAAACUGUUGAACUUGAGUGCAGAAGAGGAGAGUGGAACUCCAUGUGUAGCGGUGGAAUGCGUAGAUAUAUGGAAGAACACCAGUGGCGAAGGCGGCUCUCUGGUCUGCAACUGACGCUGAGGCUCGAAAGCAUGGGUAGCGAACAGGAUUAGAUACCCUGGUAGUCCAUGCCGUAAACGAUGAGUGCUAAGUGUUGGGAGGUUUCCGCCUCUCAGUGCUGCAGCU